rnacentral:lncRNA from 8 species
UCACCAUCCUCGCGCUCUCUUGCAGCUUGGAUAGAACAUUUGUGCUGUGUAAAACCAGUCUAUUAAUGCCAAAUAAUACAAUCAGUCCACCUUCAAAACCAGUGGAGGCUGGUGACUUAAAAAAUUGAGGAGACCAACGGUAUAGGCGCGACAAAGUGUGUCGUCAAAGGCUAAUACUUUUAACCUAAAGCAUUUAAUAAAGACAUUUAUAGUGCAAUAUUAUGGGGAAUGGGAAUGAUAGGGCUACUUACACCGUGUUGGAAAGGGAUCACAGCAGUGAUUGAAUGAGGGUAUGAGGCACGAGUUGAGGUGUUCAGAGGCUUCACCAGUGCAGGAAAGGAUUUGACUUGGAAGACAAAAAACAAUAACACAGCACAGUUAGACAAAAGAGCUCAGUUGGUAGAGCAUGGUGUUUGCAACGCCAGCAUGGUGUGAACAACACUGAGUCCAGGUUCAUGUUUACCUUUACAAGAAUGGAGUUGGGAUAAGAAUGACAGUUCUGGAGAAAGGUGAAGAUGACACAAUUUUCACCAUGAAGGAUGUUACAAAAGAAGCCUCCGGCAUCUACAGCUGUGUGUACACCAGAGAUAACCUUCUACCAGAUCAAGUGAAGUCAACAGGGGAGAAAGAGUGAGGCUGCACAUGGUGUGAUACUGGUCAAUGUAAUCCGACUGAUAAGUUCAGCUGUUGUGGUCAUACUUCUACUGACUGUGGUGGCUGUUAGUUCCUGCUGUUCAGAAAGAGGUAAUUAUGAUGAUUAAUGUCUCUUUUCUGGAUGACAUACAGUAGUGAUCUACUGACA